rnacentral:rRNA from 1 species
UACGAAGGGGGCUAGCGUUGCUCGGAAUCACUGGGCGUAAAGCGCUCGUAGGCGGAUUGUUAAGUCGGGGGUGAAAUCCUGGAGCUCAACUCCAGAACUGCCUUUGAUACUGAAGAUCUUGAGUCCGGGAGAGGUGAGUGGAACUGCGAGUGUAGAGGUGAAAUUCGUAGAUAUUCGCAAGAACACCAGUGGCGAAGGCGGCUCACUGGCCCGGUACUGACGCUGAGGCACGAAAGCGUGGGGAGCAAACAGG